rnacentral:rRNA from 1 species
UACGUAGGGAGCAAGCGUUGUUCGGAUUUACUGGGCGUAAAGGGCGCGUAGGCGGCGCGGUAAGUCACUUGUGAAAUCUCUGAGCUUAACUCAGAACGGCCAAGUGAUACUGCAGUGCUAGAGUGCAGAAGGGGCAAUCGGAAUUCUUGGUGUAGCGGUGAAAUGCGUAGAUAUCAAGAGGAACACCUGAGGUGAAGACGGGGUUGCUGGGCUGACACUGACGCUGAGGCGCGAAAGCCAGGGGAGCAAACGGGG